UUUAUAUAACGCGAACAGGUCUUCGAUAAAAUGAAGCUAUUUUAUAUGGUUCUUUUUAUUUGUGUUCAAGUUGUAUUGAUACAUUCACAGACUUCAUGGAUUAAUAAACAGAAAGUGUAUUCAAGCCGAGAAGUGUGUCCAUUGUGUCAACGAAUAUUAAAUCCGAGAGAAUGUUCAAAGUUCUGCCCUUUCGGAAACAAGGGCUGACAAACUACAUUUCAACGGAGACUGAUUUGAACCGCAAUGAAUUUUUUUCCUUCGAAAUAUGGUGAUUUUGACAUUUCCUUUUUUUUUUGAUAGUGACAUUACUUUUCAAGGGAGAGGAGAAGUGUGAUUUUGUUCUUGUUAGCAGGAGUGAGAAGAAUCGAUGGUUUUAUUAGGCCCGUACAAUUGGCUAGACUGGGCCAAAGGAAUUUAAGAGUGCAGAGAAUUUACGCAUCACCGCAGACACUUGCUUUCAGUUUCGGAAACUAUGAUUUCAUGUGCCAGCUUUGUCUACAAACAUUUCCUUACGUUUUCUGUUCACUGUAUUGCUCUCAACCUCAUAUCAGGCAACCAUCAUAUCUGGACUACGUGAAUUACAGAUUGACAAAUUAACUACUGGUCUCGUAAGGGAAUA